CGCCUGUUUAUCAAAAACAUGUCUUUUUGUUAAUUAUUUAAGGUUUGACCUGCUCCAUGAAUAUAUUAAAUAGCCGCAGUAUUUUGACUGUGCAAAGGUAGCAUAAUCAUUAGUUUUUUAAUUGAAAGCUGGAAUGAAGGGUUGGAUGAGGAAGAAGCUGUCUCAUUUUUAUUUUAGUUGAAUUUUAUAUUUAAGUUAAAAAGCUUAAAUUUUAUAGAAAGACGAGAAGACCCUAUAGAGUUUAAUAGAUUUAUUUAGCGUUUAUUUGUAGGUUAUAAUUUGAUUGGUUUUUGAUCUAUUUGGUUGGGGUGACAUAAGAAUUGGAUAAACUUCUUAGUAUUUUUACAUUGAUUAAUGAAUUAUUGAUCCUAUUAUUUGGAUUAUAAGAUUAAAUUACCUUAGGGAUAACAGCGUAAUUCUUUUGGAGAGCUCUAAUCGAUAAAAGGGAUUGCGACCUCGAUGUUGGAUUAAAGUUAAGUCUUGGUGCAGAAGCUAGGAUUUU
rnacentral:rRNA from 1 species